rnacentral:rRNA from 1 species
GACGAGGGCGCGAGCGUUGUCCGGAUUUAUUGGGCGUAAAGAGCUCGUAGGCGGCUUGUCGCGUCGAAUGUGAAAACUCGGGGCUCAACUCCGAGCUUGCAUUCGAUACGGGCAGGCUAGAGUUCGGUAGGGGAGACUGGAAUUCCUGGUGUAGCGGUGAAAUGCGCAGAUAUCAGGAGGAACACCGGUGGCGAAGGCGGGUCUCUGGGCCGAUACUGACGCUGAGGAGCGAAAGCGUGGGGAGCGAACAGG